AUACAUGCAGUCGAACGCUUCUUUUUCCACCGGAGCUUGCUCCACCGGAAAAAGAGGAGUGGCGAACGGGUGAGUAACACGUGGGUAACCUGCCCAUCAGAAGGGGAUAACACUUGGAAACAGGUGCUAAUACCGUAUAACAAUCGAAACCGCAUGGUUUUGAUUUGAAAGGCGCUUUCGGGUGUCGCUGAUGGAUGGACCCGCGGUGCAUUAGCUAGUUGGUGAGGUAACGGCUCACCAAGGCCACGAUGCAUAGCCGACCUGAGAGGGUGAUCGGCCACAUUGGGACUGAGACACGGCCCAAACUCCUACGGGAGGCAGCAGUAGGGAAUCUUCGGCAAUGGACGAAAGUCUGACCGAGCAACGCCGCGUGAGUGAAGAAGGUUUUCGGAUCGUAAAACUCUGUUGUUAGAGAAGAACAAGGAUGAGAGUAACUGUUCAUCCCUUGACGGUAUCUAACCAGAAAGCCACGGCUAACUACGUGCCAGCAGCCGCGGUAAUACGUAGGUGGCAAGCGUUGUCCGGAUUUAUUGGGCGUAAAGCGAGCGCAGGCGGUUUCUUAAGUCUGAUGUGAAAGCCCCCGGCUCAACCGGGGAGGGUCAUUGGAAACUGGGAGACUUGAGUGCAGAAGAGGAGAGUGGAAUUCCAUGUGUAGCGGUGAAAUGCGUAGAUAUAUGGAGGAACACCAGUGGCGAAGGCGGCUCUCUGGUCUGUAACUGACGCUGAGGCUCGAAAGCGUGGGGAGCAAACAGGAUUAGAUACCCUGGUAGUCCACGCCGUAAACGAUGAGUGCUAAGUGUUGGAGGGUUUCCGCCCUUCAGUGCUGCAGCUAACGCAUUAAGCACUCCGCCUGGGGAGUACGACCGCAAGGUUGAAACUCAAAGGAAUUGACGGGGGCCCGCACAAGCGGUGGAGCAUGUGGUUUAAUUCGAAGCAACGCGAAGAACCUUACCAGGUCUUGACAUCCUUUGACCACUCUAGAGAUAGAGCUUCCCCUUCGGGGGCAAAGUGACAGGUGGUGCAUGGUUGUCGUCAGCUCGGGUCGUGAGAUGUUGGGUUAAGUCCCGCAACGAGCGCAACCCUUAUUGUUAGUUGCCAUCAUUCAGUUGGGACUUUAGCAAGACUGCCGGGGACCAACCGGAGGAAGGGGGGGA
rnacentral:rRNA from 1 species